CAGAGUUUUUGCCCGCAAGGGUAGAUCUCCCACCCUGUGUUAUACUAUCUUUGUUGCUUUGGCGGGCCGCUCGGCCCUCGGUCAGGCUACCGGCUCCGGCUGGUAAGCGCCCGCCAGAGGACCCCAAACCCUGAAUAUUAGUGUCGUCUGAGUACUAUAUAAUAGUUA
rnacentral:misc_RNA from 1 species